CAGAAUUCUGGUGGAAGUAGCAAAUAUUCAAAUGAGAGCUUUGAAGACCGAAGUGGAGAAAGGUUCCAUGUGAACAGCAGUUGGACAUGGGUUAGUCGAUCCUAAGAGAUAGGGAAAUUCCGUUUUCAAGCGCCCAAUCGCGGGCCGCCUAUCGAAAGGGAAUCGGGUUAAUAUUCCCGAACCGGAACACGGAUGUCGCCACUUCGCGUGGCGGGUGCGGCAACGCAAACGAACCCGGAGACGUCGGCGGGGGCCCUGGGAAGAGUUCUCUUUUCUUCUUAACGGACUUUCACCCUGAAAUCAGCUUGCCUGGAGAUAGGGUUUGAUGUCCGGUAAAGCACCACACUUCUUGUGGUGUCCGGUGCGCUCCCGACGACCCUUGAAAAUCCGGGGGAGACAGUGAUUUUCGUGUCCGGUCGUACUCAUAACCGCAGCAGGUCUCCAAGGUGCGCAGCCUCUGGUUGAUAGAACAAUGUAGGUAAGGGAAGUCGGCAAAAUAGAUCCGUAACUUCGGGAA
rnacentral:rRNA from 1 species